UUUAGAUUAUGUAUGCAAUAGUUGAAUUUAGCAACUAAGUCAGUGAAAUUAUACCAGUUAAAUGGUUCUGCACAGAAGAGGAAGAUUAAUGUUUUUGGCCUGAGUUUUUGCCACUUUCAAAAGUAUCAAAGCUGGUUAGCCAAAUAGCAAAUCCUAAUCCAGCAUGGAAAAAGUGUAAUGUUCGAACAUUAGGAAAGGCAUCUACUUAUGAAAGAGCACGAGAGAAGUUAAGGCUUUCAGAAAACACAUCUGAUUUGAAUAUUACAGAAAGUGAAAACAAAGAAAAGGCAACUGGUGUGCUAAAAAGGAAAAGAUUAUCAACAACACAAUACUUUCAAUUUGAUUCGGAUAGUGAAGAUUUCAGUGAUGUCCGUCAUAACAAUGUUUCAAGUUGCCUUACUGCCGAACGCAGUAUUAAAUCAUCACAAGUUAAAAAAAGUGCUUUAUCUGUUACAAAUUUACCUCCAACUUCACCUCAAGUGCUACAUAUUACCUCAAUGAUGAA